GGGAGGGGGCAUGGAGAUGGCCGCGGCGGGAUGGGACGGUUGGACUGCGGCUCAGGGCCUCUCUGGCGGAAAGCACAGAUAAAAAUGGGAAAAACGUGGCUCUCCCGCCUGACAUUGCCGGCUAAGGCCACGGCAGCCGCGCAGACAGAAGCGUUUCUCCUAGAUGAAGGGACUGAAUGAGAUGCA